AUUGAACGCUGGCGGCAGGCCUAACACAUGCAAGUCGAGCGGAGCGGCGGACGGGUGAGUAAUGCCUAGGAAUCUGACUGGGAGUGGGGGAUAACGUCCGGAACCGGACACUAAUACCGCAUACUCUCAGAUGAGCCUAGGUCGGAUUGGCUAGUUGGUGGGGUAAAGGCCGACCAAGGCGACGAUCCCUAACUGGUCUGAGAGGAUGACCAGUCACACUGGAACUGAGACACGGUCCAGACUCCUACGGGAGGCAGCAGUGGGGAAUAUUGCACAAUGGGCGAAAGCCUGAUCCAGCCAUGCCGCGUGUAUGAAGAAGGUCUUCGGAUUGUAAAGUACUUUCAGUUGGGAGGCGUUACCGACAGAAGAAGCACCGGCUAACUCCGUGCCAGCCGCCGCGGUAAUUC
rnacentral:rRNA from 1 species